rnacentral:lncRNA from 1 species
AACUCAUCAGUCUCACUCUCACUCUCACUCUCACUCUCACUGUCUUCCGUGUCCUGCUCAUCAGCCUCACUAUUUUCCUUCUCUUUCUCACCCUCUUGCUAAGCAUUGUCAUCAGCCUCUUUCUCUUCCCCUUCUUCUUCAUCAUAUUUUCUCUCAGCCUCUUGCUCAGUAUUCUCGAUGUUAUCCUUCUCUUUCCCAGCCUCUUGCUCAGCAUUAGCUUUGUCCUUCUCAGAAUUAGCUUUCUCCUUCUCUUCAUAUGUACCAUAGUCCCACUGUCGAAAAUCCAUGUCUUCACCAUGACUCGGCUCCACCUUACUCUCAAUAGAAGUUAGCCGUCACUGAUUUCAGCCUCUUUCUCUUCACCUUCUUCUUCAUCCUGUUUCCCUCCAACCUCUUCUUCAUCCGCUUCAAUUUCUUUCCACAGUUUAUCAGCUUGUGCUCUACUUCUCUCCUUCAAUUGCUUCAACUCAUCAGUCUCACUCUCACUCUCACUCUCACUCUCACUGUCUUCC